GUGCUUACCUGGCAGGGGAGUUACCAAGGUCAUAGAGAUAAGGUUAUUUUCCCAGAAUGAGACUGAACUCUUGCACUCUGGAUGUGCUGACCCCUGAGAUUUCUCCAAAUACGAGGAACUCCACUGCAUAGUUUUGGGUAAGUGUAUUCACCUUCAUC
rnacentral:snRNA from 11 species